rnacentral:rRNA from 1 species
UACGUAGGGUGCAAGCGUUAAUCGGAAUUACUGGGCGUAAAGCGUGCGCAGGCGGUUUUGUAAGUCUGUCGUGAAAGCCCCGGGCUCAACCUGGGAAUUGAGAUGGAGACUGCAAGGCUUGAAUCUGGCAGAGGGGGGUAGAAUUCCACGUGUAGCAGUGAAAUGCGUAGAGAUGUGGAGGAACACCGAUGGCGAAGGCAGCCCCCUGGGUCAAGAUUGACGCUCAUGCACGAAAGCGUGGGGAGCAAACAGG